AUGUGUGACUCCUGGACUGGGCCUACUGGCAUGAGUCUUAUCAAUUUCAUGGUCUAUUGCAAUACACGGAUGUUCUUCCAUAAAUCCAUUGAUGCUUCUGGCCAGUCUCAAAAUUCAGAAUUUCUCUAUAGAGAGAUUAAACAGGUUGUUGUUGAAGAGAUAGGCCACGAAAAUGUAGUUCAGAUUGUUACUGAUAAUGGCUCAAAUUACAAGAAAGCUUGUAAAACUCUUGUUGAACAACCAGAAUUCAGUCAUAUUGUUUGGCAGCCAUGUGCAGCCCACACGGUUAAUCUAAUGCUUAAAGACAUAGGUAAGUUUCCUGAGGUUGAUGUGAUAGUCAAAAGUGCCAAGCAAAUCUGUAGGUUUUUUUUAUAA
rnacentral:rRNA from 1 species